AUAAAAUGGCAUCACCUUUACCUUCACACACAAGUUUGUAGCCCAAAAUUCCCUCCCCAAAAAUCUCUUCAAGCACACAGAUCUGAAAAUUCCUCUAGAGUAUUCUCUAAGCCUUCCCAACUAAAAUUUGAAUUUCAAAACUCCAAAUCUUCAAAAACCAAAAAAAAAUAGAAACAAUACAAUAAACUCCAAAAAAACACUAUUACAUUGAAAUUUCUGCACUGUCAAUUAAGAAUCUGAGUUCCUGGUGACCUUGAGUUUAAUUUCAAGCUGUUUUUGAAUUUAUUCAAGCUAUUUUGAUUUGUUUUAGUUGUUGAGGUUUCAGAGGUAUUUCUGGGUUCGAUUUCGAAGUCACUUGGGUUUUGUUCAAGCUGAUUUCGACUGUUUAGUUGGCUUCUGUUUGGUUUGGAAAUAUUCUUCGACAGUUGAACUCGUUUCUGGGACGAACUUGUUGUAUUUCCUGUUGUUAGCAAAUUAUUCUGCUGGAAUCAGCUAUUAUAGCUGAUCUUCUUCUUAUUCUUGUUCUAUUUCGACAUUCAGGUGCACAUCUCGAGACUCCAUUGAUGUAGCUUCAUCUGCUGAGAUAUGAAAUGAAAUUAAGGAUAACUUCCCACUAUGGCUUUGUAAUUUUAAUGGCCCUGCCACAUUUGCUUGUUUAUUGUGAUUAAACUCUGUAAUAAUUAUGGCAUAUAUUGUUAAGUAGUAUAAUGUUAGAUUACUUAGAUGUAGUCCAUGUGUGUAGCAAUUUAGUUUGGUUUAGCUUGUGUUGAUAUUAUAAUGCAGAGUUCUAGUAGAUCUCUAUGUGUACUCAAUUGGCCUAUUGAGUUGUGUAAACUAUUGAUCAUCUAGCAAUAGCUUCUCAUAUAGUCGACAUCAGUUUGGUUUAGCAUUUAUUUCCACUGUUUUAAAGAAGAAAUAGAAACAAU
rnacentral:lncRNA from 1 species